rnacentral:rRNA from 1 species
AAUCAACGCUGGCGGCGUGCCUCAGACAUGCAAGUCGAACGAUUAAGACUUCCUUCGGGAAGUGCAUAAAGUGGCGCACGGGUGAGUAACACGUAAGUAAUCUACCCUCGAGUGGGGAAUAACGUUCGGAAACGAACGCUAAUACCGCAUAAUGCAGCGGCAUCGCAAGAUGACAGUUGUUAAAGGAGUAAUUCGCUUGAGGAGGAGCUUGCGGCAGAUUAGCUAGUUGGUAAGGUAACGGCUUACCAAGGCUACGAUCUGUAUCCGGUCUAAGAGGACGGUCGGACACACUGACACUGAAUAACGGGUCAGACUCCUACGGGAGGCAGCAGUCGGGAAUUUUGGGCAAUGGGGGAAACCCUGACCCAGCAACGCCGCGUGAAGGAUGGAGUAUUUCGGUAUGUAAACUUCGAAAGAAUGGGAAGAAUAAAUGACGGUACCAUUUAUAAGCUCCGGCUAACUACGUGCCAGCCGCCGCCGUAAGAC